rnacentral:rRNA from 1 species
AUUGAACGCUGGCGGCAGGCCUAACACAUGCAAGUCGAGCGGGGUUUUCGGACCUAGCGGCGGACGGGUGAGUAAUGCGUAGGAAGCUACCCGACAGAGGGGGAUACCAGUUGGAAACGACUGUUAAUACCGCAUAAUGUCUACGGACCAAAGUGUGGGACCUUCGGGCCACAUGCUGUCGGAUGCGCCUACGUGGGAUUAGCUAGUUGGUGAGGUAAUGGCUCACCAAGGCGACGAUCCCUAGCUGGUUUGAGAGGAUGAUCAGCCACACUGGAACUGAGACACGGUCCAGACUCCUACGGGAGGCAGCAGUGGGGAAUAUUGGACAAUGGGCGGCAAGCCUGAUCCAGCCAUGCCGCGUGCAGGAUGACGGUCCUAUGGAUUGUAAACUGCUUUGUACAGGAAGAACACUACUUCGUGAAGUAGCUUGACGGUACUGUAAGAAUAAGGAUCGGCUAACUCCGUGCCAGCAG